GCUUGUCCGGGGAGAGUCAGGGUUCUCCUGUCAGCUGGGUCCCCUCUCGACCCUGGGAGGCUGCCUCUGGAGCCCUGCCUCUUCCUGGCAG
rnacentral:miRNA from 1 species